rnacentral:tRNA from 1 species
GCCUUCGUGGUGUAGUUGUUAGCACGCUCGACGCGUAACCGAUGUCCGUGGUUCGAUUCCUGGCGAAGGCU